GGAGUUUGGACCGUGUCUCAGUUCCAAUGUGGGGGACCUUCCUCUCAGAACCCCUACCGAUCGAUGGCUUGGUGGGCCGUUACCCCGCCAACUACCUAAUCGGACGCAUCCCCAUCCAUGGCCGGUAAACCUUUAGUCCUCGUUAGAUGUCUGCAAAGGACGCCAUAGGGCAUUAAUCCGCUUUUCAACGGGCUAUUCCCUAGCCAUGGGCAGGUUGGAUACGCGUUACUCACCCGUGCGCCGGUCGCCGUCUAUCAAAGCAAGCUUCGAUAAUGCUGCCCCUCGACUUGCAUGUGUUAAGCCUGUAGCUAGCGUUCAUC
rnacentral:rRNA from 1 species